GAGGCACGAAAGCGUGGGGAGCAAACAGGAUUAGAUACCCUGGUAGUCCACGCCGUAAACGAUGAGUACUAAACGUUGGGUAAAACCAGUGUUGAAGUUAACACAUUAAGUACUCCGCCUGAGUAGUACGUACGCAAGUAUGAAACUUAAAGGAAUUGACGGGACUCCGCACAAGCGGUGGAUCAUGUUGUUUAAUUCGAAGGUACCCGAAAAACCUCACCAGGUCUUGGCAUGCUUCUGCAAAGCUGUAGAAACACAGUGGAGGUUAUCAGUUGCACAGGUGGUGCAUGGUUGUCGUCAGCUCGUGUCGUGAGAUGUUGGGUUAAGUCCCGCAACGAGCGCAACCCUUAUUGUUAGUUACCAGCACGUAAUGGUGGGGACUUUAGCAAGACUGCCAGUGAUAAAUUGGAGGAAGGUGGGGACGACGUCAAAUCAUCAUGCCCCUUAUGACCUGGGCUACAAACGUGAUACAAUGGCUGUUACAAAGGGUAGCUGAAG
rnacentral:rRNA from 1 species